UACGUAGGGGGCAAGCGUUUGUCCGGAUUUAUUGGGCGUAAAGAGCGUGUAGGCGGCUAUACAGGUCCGCUGUGAAAACUCGAGGCUCAACCUCGAGACGUCGGUGGAAACCGUAUGGCUAGAGUCCGGAAGAGGAGAGUGGAAUUCCUGGUGUAGCGGUGAAAUGCGCAGAUAUCAGGAAGAACACCCGUGGCGAAGGCGGCUCUCUGGGACGGUACUGACGCUGAGACGCGAAAAGCGUGGGGAGCGAACAGG
rnacentral:rRNA from 1 species